CAGAUAUUUUGCAACACUAUCUUGUAUACGAUGAUGGUAACAGUGGACUGAACUUUUGUGGGGUGACGGAUGUUUUCAUCUGUAACACAACGUACAAAAUAAAAGGUAAGAUGGUUCCUAUUGAAAUGCUGCAAGAGCAUCAAAGAGUUAUUGCUUACCUACAUAAACAAAACCAGGAGCUCAUGCAGCGUUUAGACCAACUAGGCAGGAGCCUCGAUUCUCUUCUACCACUUGUUGCUGAAUUAGGAGAUCCAAAAACCCACCUGAAAAAUCUGGAAAAUUUGCACAAACAUUCUGGAAUGUCAACUACACUUUGGAAGGUGCUUGGUAGAUUAUCAGAUGAACAACUCCCAGACAGAUAUAAACCGGACUUAAGCCAAGAAGAAAUCAGACAAAACUGUUUAUACUCAAAGGCAAGAAUGCAGAGAGUCUUUCCGCAUCUUUCGAUGUCGUUCGAAAAGAAACAAAUAGAUAAGACGGAGAAAAAUCCGUUAAGUAAGUCAGACUGAGUGAAACUGUGUGUGCAGAUGAACAUGUUGCAAUAGUGACUCUUUUCAACUAUACUUUACAGUAAUAUGCUUAGAAUAUUUCUGGGUAUGGGUAACCUGUUUAUCUGCACGCUUCCAAAUUGUCAAUAUAUGUUUUGGAUAAGGUUUGGAAGGAAUUUCUCUUUAUAAAAUUACAAAUACAAAUGCAUCAUGUCUUUGCUCUCGGAUGUUGUCAUAAGGUAAUAAAAUGUGACAUUA